rnacentral:rRNA from 1 species
UAGGAUAGGGACAACAGUUGGAAACGACUGCUANNNACCUGAUGUGCCGAGAGGUGAAACAUUUAUGGCCUGUGGAUGAGCUCGCGUCUGAUUAGCUAGUUGGUGGGGUAAGAGCCUACCAAGGCGACGAUCAGUAGCUGGUCUGAGAGGAUGAUCAGCCACACUGGAACUGAGACACGGUCCAGACUCCUACGGGAGGCAGCAGUGGGGAAUUUUCCGCAAUGGGCGAAAGCCUGACGGAGCAAGACCGCGUGGGGGAUGAAGGUUUGUGGAUUGUAAACCCCUUUUGAUUGGGAAGAAGUUCUGACGGUACCAAUCGAAUAAGCCUCGGCUAACUCCGUGCCAGCAGCCGCGGGUAAUACGGAGGAGGCAAGCGUUAUCCGGAAUUAUUGGGCGUAAAGCGUCCGUAGGUGGUUUUAGUAAGUCUGCUGGUUAAAGCGCGGGGCUUAACUCCGUAUCGGCAGUGGGAAACUACUAGACUAGAGUGUGGUAGGGGUAGAGGGAAUUCCCAGUGUAGCGGGUGAAAUGCGUAGAUAUUGGGAAGAAACACCGGUGGCGAAGGCGCUCUACUGGGCCAUAACUGACACUGAUGGACGAAAGCUAGGGGAGCGAAAGGGAUUAAGAUACCCCUGUAGUCCUAGCCGUAAACGAUGGAAACUAGGUGUUGGGCCGUAUCGACCCGGUCAGUGCCGUAGCUAACGCGUUAAGUUUCCCGCCUGGGGAGUACGCUCGCAAGAGUGAAACUCAAAGGAAUUGACGGGGGCCCGCACAAGCGGUGGAGUAUGUGGUUUAAUUCGAUGCAACGCGAAGAACCUUACCAAGGCUUGACAUGUCGCGAAUCCUCUUGAAAGGGAGGAGUGCCUUCGGGAGCGCGAACACAGGUGGUGCAUGCUGUCGUCAGCUCGUGUCGUGAGAUGUUGGUUAAGUCCCGCAACGAGCGCAACCCUCGUUUUUAGUUGCCAUCAUUAAGUUGGGCACUCUAGGAGAGACUGCCGGUGACAAACCGAAGGAAGGUGGGGAUGACGUCAAGUCAGCAUGCCCCUUACGUCUUGGGCUACACACGUACUACAAUGCUGUGGACAGAGGCAGCAAGCUCGCGAGAGCAAGCUAAUCCCAUAAACCACGGCUCAGUUCAGAUUGCAGGCUGCAACUCGCCUGCAUGAAGGAGGAAUCGCUAGUAAUCGCAGGUCAGCAUACUGCGGUGAAUACGUUCCGGGCCUUGUACACACCGCCCGUCCACACCAUGGGAGUUGCCACCGCCCGAAGUCGUUACUCCAACCGUUCGCGGAGGAGGGCCCCCGAAAGGCAGGGCUGAUGACUGGGGUGAAGUCGUAACAAGGUAGCCGUACCGGAAAGGUGUGGCUGGAUCACCUCCUUUUAGGGAGACCUACCCACUUUUACUUGAGGGCGAUUCGUUGCCGAUAGGGUAAGAGUUGGUCAUCCCAAGGUCGUUAGGGUUUUUAGUGUUGGCUUUCAAACUAGGGUCUAGUUGAGAUGGGCUAUUAGCUCAGGUGGUUAGAGCGCACCCCUGAUAAGGGUGAGGUCCCUGGUUCGAGUCCAGGAUGGCCCACCAUUAAAUGAGGGGGUUUAGCUCAGUUGGUAGAGCGCCUGCUUUGCAAGCAGGAUGUCAGCGGUUCGAGUCCGCUAACCUCCACUGGCGAUAGUCAUGAUUAAUGAGAGCAUAAUUCAGCAACCUGUUUUGGUGAGAGCCAAGAUAGAUUGCUGAGUGAGAAGCUCAGCGAGAACCUUGAAAACUGCAUAGCGAUAAAAGUCAGGUAGUCAAAGAGAUUUCUGUCUGAAUAGAUAAGUGCACGAGAG